rnacentral:rRNA from 1 species
UACGUAGGGGGCAAGCGUUGUCCGGAAUCAUUGGGCGUAAAGAGCGUGUAGGCGGCCAGAUAAGUCCGCUGUGAAAACUCGGAGCUCAACUCCGAGCCUGCGUUCGAUACUGGACGGCUAGAGUCUGGUAGGGGGAUCUGGAAUUCCUGGUGUAGCGGUGGAAUGCGCAGAUAUCAGGAGGAACACCGGUGGCGAAGGCGGGUCUCUGGGCCGAUACUGACGCUGAGGAGCGAAAGCGUGGGGAGCGAACAGG